UUGAUACAAAUAUAUAAAUGAAUGGACUAAAAUUGGGCUUAAAUGAACCAGUGAUGAGGAUUGGUAGAGGUUGAGGCACAGACGAUGAAUAAUAAGUAUCUGGAACCCUGAGGUCCAAGACAAUACAUACUCUAUUUUCAUGUUUAUUUGAUCCUAUGGACAGAUGUUAGGAAUGUAUAAUUUUCAAGUUCUUCGAUUAAGUUUUAAAAUUAUUACUAGAUCAAUGAGAGCACUAUUAAAAUUACAUAAAUAAUAGAUUACAAAGAAAGGAUAAAUUAUGUUCUCAUUAUGAACAUCUAUGAUGAGACAAGAAAUAUUAAUAAAAAUUUCCAGCACUAAUGACCAUUAUGAAAUAGAUGGAGCAAGGGUGUCAUCACUUUUUCCAGAUACCAGAUAGACUUGAACAAUUAGGAGUCAAUUUUAUUGUUCUGAGUCAGUCUUAAGUAUGAGCUUGUUCUUUCUGUUAAGAGAAAACAAUUUCUACAUUAAGAAAAAGUUAUAAAUUCCUAAAUGACUGGGUAAAAGAAAUGUAGAAUGCAAGAGUCAAUGGAGAUAAAUUUUCUUUUUUUCUCAUUGGCUGUGCUUCAUAUUGUUCAAAAUGGACACAUUUGUGCUGACGAAGUGUUAUUCUGUGGGGAUGCACCUUAUGAUUGCAUCUCUGUGUUAGAAGCACAGAGACCAAUGUGAGUAAUAGUCAAAUUUCUCGUCUUAGUUUCAGUGAUUUUUUUUCCCCUGUGUAUUCAGUGUAUUACUUGAAACUUCCAUAUAGAGUAACAGAAGGCCAGUGUAGCUCAGUGAUAAAUAUAGACCUUCAUUAUACACUAAUUGAUUAAUGCAUAGAUGUAUAAUAGCAUAUAAUUUAAAAAGAGGUACGUUGCUGUGAGAAUGAUCUAUUUACAGUUAGUAAUAUCACGACUCUUCUUGGGUUUUGUGACUAAUAAUUUUAAAAUUAUUAUGAGUGACUUACUGAAAUAGUCAAUAAACAAAUAGAAAUGAACAAAGAAAAGAGUAAAAAGUAUUAAAUUAAUCAAAAACUCAUAAUUCAAUGAUAAAUAUAAGAAAUAUUCUUUUGAAUAAUUGAUAAUGGGCAGGAUUGAGGUCGAAAAUUGGAAGAGAUGGACCCUUAAUGGGAAAUGAUUCUGUAAACUGAGGUUAGGGGUAUUGAAGGGUGUUAUUCUUGGAAUAUUUAGUGAACCAUAUAUGAUUUUAUUAUUCUUCCAUAUAGAAAUGAUGGAAGAAAAGAGACUCAGUGAUGGAACAGUGAUGAUGAUUGUGACGGGAAGAGCCCUGAAUGAUGAAAACAUGUCUGAAACUCUGAGGUCCAACCCAGACCAGUGGAUGCACUGGACCAGAAAUGAGGAUUCUUCCUUGAGUGCCAGCCCAGGAUGGCAUCUUUGUCAUAGGAGCCUGGACACCCAUGUGAGCAUCAUCUAGUUCCUAGUCUGGGGGUGGGUGGUUUCUCAAAAAGUAAUGACUAAGCUAAAAAAAAUGGGUGAAAGAAAAUUAAAGGAGGCCAUCUUUAUCCCAUUGAUAAAAAAGGAACUGUUGUGAAGCAAAAACCCAAUAAUAAAUAUGAGAGAUAUGAUGAUGUGAGAAUGGUUAUAGAGACAGGUGAACGAUAUCGAGGUCUCGCUGGGUUUUGCAAACCCUAGAGUGUCAAAAUUUGCAUUAGUGAAGUAACGCAUGCAUCAGUGAAACAUACAGAAUGAAGAGAAAGUCAUCUUUUCUGGAUCGAUGAUGAUAAAUGCCAGCGCAUGAGUCAUCGAUGACGAAUAAUACGUGUCUGGACCUCUCAGGUCCAAUACACAAGAAAUGUGGUCUAUCUCUUCAUGCGUUUUCACUGGUUAUGCUAAUUGAGCCAAUGAAAGCAUCAGUAAACAAAUCUGCUGGUCCAUGGAGAGAAAGUCUCAAUCUCGGUCAUUACCUUCUCUGUUUGGUACUUUUCAGAAUAGAAGCUCAGGCGAUUUAAGCCUCCAUUUUGAUCAAGCUUCUCCUUUUCAGGUUGCUAUGGGACAGAGACCCAGUGGGCAUGUUCGAGCUGAUCAAGCUAUCAGUAUUCCAUGGUGAGGCACCUUAUAAUUGCAGGAACCCAUAUUUCACAUAUCCGCUGUAUUAGAGAUUGCCUAAGUAACAGUGGGAAUGUGGAAGCCGGGAUGAGUGAAUAGAAGCUCAAGGAGAUUUCAGCCUCCAUUGUGAUCAAGGUUCUCCUUUUCAGGUUGCUAUGGGACAGACACCCAGUGGACACAUUCGAGUUGAGCAAGCUAUCAGUAUUUCACGGUGAUGGCAUCUUAUCAUUGCCAGAACCCAUAAUAGAAGCUCAAGGUGAUUUCAGCCUCCAUUGUGAUCAAGGUCCUCCUUUUCAGUUUGCUGUGGGACAGAGACCCAGGUGAGUUAUGGCCAGGGCUCCUGUCUUGGUUUGGGGAAUUGGUUUAAGUGUUUUCAUUACAUUCUCAAAAGUCAUUGAUAUAUAUCAAAGGGUUGAUGAUGCCUGUUGAAAAAUAAGCCAUGAGAGCUUAUGCUGAUGAAGUGAUCAUCUAGAUCCUGGAAAUUCAUUAAGGAAAGUGAUCACAUGUAUGGUGAUAGUGAUUGGAUAGAACGCAUGGAUAUUCGCAGGUCUUGUUCUUGGGUUUUGGAUAUUCGUGUCUUUCUUUCAUUAAUACCAAUGGUAUAAUGAUUUAAUUGAUAGAGAUAUGUCAAUGAAUGAACUAAAAUUGAACCCAAGGGGACCAACAAACAAGGUGGGUAGAGUAUGAGGCAUAGGCAAGGAACCAUAUGUAUCUGGAAGCCUGAGGGCCAAGGAUACGUACUCUGUUUUGAUUUCUUCCUAUGGACAGAUGUUCAGAAUAUAUAAAGUCAUGCUCUUAGUUUGGUUUACUAAAUUUAUAUUUAAUACUAUUAAUCGAUCAAUGAUAGAACCAUUCAAAAUAUGUAAAUAGUAGAUUAAGAAGAGAUGGUCAGUUAUUGCCAAAUGUGGACACAUGUGGGCUGGCAAGAAGUAAUCCUAAAGAUUUCCACCCCUUACGCCCCUUAAUUACAAUUGGACCUAAGAGGUCAACUGUUUGGCCAAGAGUCAUGUAGAUGUGAAUAAUUGAGUCAAUUUUAUUGUUCUUGGCCACUCUCAAGCUUGAGGGUAUUAUUUUCUGUAGAAAAAAACAUCUCUUCAUUAUGAAAGAGUGGUCAAUUCCUCAUGACUGAGAACAUUAAAUGUGGAAAGAAAGCAUCAAUGUUCAUAAGUUUCCUUACUCUCUCUUUUGUUUCAUCGACUGUGCUUUUAUUGAUUAAAAUGGACACAUUUGAGCUGAUCAAGCCAUCAGUAUUCCAUGGUGAGGCACCUUAUAAUUGCAGGAACCCGUGUGAGUAAUAAGCAAAUUUCUUGUCAUGGUUUCCGUUUAUUUUUGUCUGCCUGGGUGUGCAUUCAAGGUAUUAUUCGAGAUAUUCAUAUAGGAAAACAAAAGGCCAGUGCAGUUCGGUGAUACGUGUUACAUUUUAUGAAACAUUAAUUGAUUACUGCCCCAAUGAAAAAAACAAAACAAAACAAAACAAAACAAAACAACACAAAAUCAGCAUCAUGAUUUAUAGGAGAGACACACUGCUGUGAGAAUGAACUAUGGAGAGAGGAGGGAAAUCAUGACUGCCCUUGGGUUUUGUGGUUAAUAGGCUUUUCAGUAUUUAUGAGAGAUUUAUUGCCUUAAUCAGUACACAAUGUAGAAAUACAUGAAGAGAAGGAGGGACACUAUUGGAUUGAUGAUGACUACUGGUGGCGUACGAGUCGUGUACGAUGAAUACGUGUCUGGAGCUCUGAGGUCCGAUGCAAAUGGAAUCUAGUCCAUUGUCCUAUUGGAAGUGACCCUAGGGGCUGAGGUCAGGAAUGAAUGAGGGGCUCCUUUGCAGUCUUUGUGUUCAUGCCUUUUCAUUUUGUUCGUGCAAAUGAAAAACUGAGGCCCUCUUCAUAAAUAUAUGAGUUAAAAUAAAGAAAAAUGACGGAAAACAAUUUCUAUUCAUGGAUAUAUGGGUGGAAACAAGAUAUACCAUUAAUAUGUCAAGGAAAGCCUGGAUUUCAAUUUUAAAGCCAUGGGACAUGACUGUUACCACUUAGGGUAAGGAGAAGGGGACCAGGGGAAGUGGUAGACAGCCUUCAUAUUCUGGCACAGAGGCAAGAUUGAAGUUGUUCCUUUUCAACAGAUCUCACAUACCUGCUAUGUUAGGGAUAGCCUAAGUAAUGAUGUGAAUGUGGAAGCAAGGAUGAGUGGAGAGUGUCUCCACCAUUUUUAUAAUCUGCUUCGCUUUAUACUCCUCAGAGUGGAUGCACUGGACCAGAAACGAGGAUUCGUCCUCGAGGGCCAGCCUAGGAUGGCAUCAUGGUCGUAGGAGCCAGGAGACCUGUAAUAGAAGCACAAGGUGAUUUCAGCCUCCACUGUGAUCAAUGUUCUCCUUCUCAGGUUGCUAUAGGACAGAGACCCAGGUGAGUUAUGGCCAAGGUUUCUGCCUUGGUUUGGGGAAUUGAUUUAAGUGUUUUCAUUGUAUUCUCAGAAGUCAUCGAUACAUAUUAAAGGGUUGAUGAUAUGGCCCAUUUAAAAACAAGACAUGAGCGCUUAUGCUGAUGAAGUGAUCAUCUAGAUACUGGCAAUGCAUUAAGGAAAGAGAUCUCAUGUAUGGUUAUAGUGAUUGGAGAGAAAUUAGGGAUGUUCAUGGGUAUACUGUUCUUGGGUUUUGUUUUUUCGUAUCUUUCUUUCAUUAAUAUCAAUGAUGUAAUGAUUUAAUUGAUAGUGAUGUAUCAAUGAAUGAACUAAAAUUGGACCCAAGGGGACCAACGAUGAUGUUUGGUAGAGGAUGAGGCAUGGCCAAGGAACUAUAAGUAUCUGGAAUCCUGAGGUCCAAGAAAGGCUACAUACUUCGUUUUCUACACUGAUUUCUUCCCUUGGACAGAUGUUCGGAAUAUAUAAAGUCAUGCUCCUACUUUGCGUCACUCAAUUUAUAUUUCAUACUAUUAAUCGAUCAGUGAUAGAACACUUCAAAAUGUAUAAAUAGUAGAUUAAGAAGAAAAGGUCCAUUAUUGUCUACUGUGGACACAUGGGGUUCAGCAAGAAGCAAUCCUAAAUAUUUCCAUCAGUUAGGACCGUUAAUAACAAAUGGACCUAGGAGGUCAACUGUUUCCAAGCAUCAUUUAGAUGUGAAUAAUUAAGAUUCAAUUUUAUUGUUCUGGAGCACUCUCAAGUUUGCGGGUAUUUUUGAUUGUAGAAGAAGAAAAAUCUCUGCAUUAGGAAAGAGUGAUCAAUUCGUGAAUAUUGAGAACUCUAAAUUUGGACAGAAAGCAUCAAUGUCCAUACAGUUUCCUUUUUCUUUCUCUUUUUUGUUUCAUCGACUGUGCUUUCUACUGAUUAAAAUGGACAUGUUCAAGCUGAGCAAGCCGUCAGUAUUCCAUGGUGAUGCACCUUAUGAUUGCAGGAACCCACGUGGAAUGAAUGCACUAGCGAUGGUUUAGAAUCACCCAUGGCCACCAGGUCUGUGGUUGCCUCUGUAUAAUAGGAGGAUGGAGAUUAAUGACAGAUGUUCCCCCUACUUCAGCUUCUGCUGUGCUCAGCUGUCCUGCUGCUUCUGUGUCAGAAAGUAACUAAGAAUGCAUGCAUCAUUUAGCAUCUUCCAUGAACAUGAGCUCUGUGGUUGCUUCUGUAUAAUAGGAGGGUGAAGAUUAAUAGUGGACACACUGGACCUGAAAGAAAGGUUCUUCCUUGAGCACCAGCCUAGGAUGGCAUCUUUGUUUUAGGAGCCAAGAGACCAGUAAUAGUAGCUCAAGGUGAUUUCAGCCUCCAUUGUGAUCAAGGCUUUCCUUUUCGGGUUGCUAUGGGACAGAGACCCAGGUGAGUAAUGGCCAGUGUUCCUCUCUUGGUUUGGGGAAUUGGUUUAAGUGUUUUCAUUGUAUUUUCAAACAUAAUCGAUAUAUAUCAAAGGGUUGAUGAUGGCCUGUUGGUAAAUAACCAUGAGAGCUUAUGCUGAUGAAGUGAUAAUCUAGAACCUGGAAAUUCAUUAACCAAGGAGAUCUCAUGUAUGGUGAUAAUGUUUGGAGAGAAGUUAGGGAUAUUCGCUGGUCUGGUUCUUGGGUUUUGGGUAUUCAUGUUUUUCUUUCAUUAGUAUUAAUAAUGUGAUGAUUUAAUUGAUAGAGGUGUACCAAUGAAUGAACUAAAAUUGGACCCAAGGGGACCAACGAUGAAGUUGGGUAGAGGAUGAGGCAUUAAUGGGCAAGGAACCAUAAGUAUCUGGAAGCCUGAGGGCCAAGAAGUGUACACAUUCUAUUUUCUACAUUGAUUUCGUCCUAUGGACACAUGUUUGAAAUAUAUAAAGUCAUGCUCUUAGUUUGGGUUAAUAGAUUUUGAUUUAGUAUUAUUAAUGGAUAAAUAA